GAUCAUGGCUCAGGAUGAACGCUAGCGGCAGGCUUAACACAUGCAAGUCGAGGGGCAGCAUGACGUAAACCUUCGGGGUUUUGUUGAUGGCGACCGGCGCAAGGGUGCGUAACGCGUGAGCAACUUGCCCGUUUCAGGGGGAUAACCGGUGGAAAACGCCGACUAAUACCCCAUAGUAUUGAUUUAAGGCAUCUUUUAUCAAUUAAAGAAUUUCGGAAACGGAUAGGCUCGCGUGACAUUAGCUAGAUGGUGAGGUAACGGCUCACCAUGGCGACGAUGUCUAGGGGUUCUGAGAGGAAGGUCCCCCACACUGGAACUGAGACACGGUCCAGACUCCUACGGGAGGCAGCAGUGAGGAAUAUUGGUCAAUGGUCGAAGGACUGAACCAGCCAUGCCGCGUGAAGGUGACGGCCCUAUGGGUCUUAAACUUCUUUUGUAAGGGAGCAAUAAGAUCUACGUGUAGAUUGAUGAGAGUACCUUACGAAUAAGCAUCGGCUAACUCCGUG
rnacentral:rRNA from 1 species